rnacentral:rRNA from 1 species
UACGUAGGGGGCUAGCGUUGUCCGGAAUCAUUGGGCGUAAAGCGCGCGUAGGCGGCCCAGUAAGUCCGUUGUAAAAGUCAAAGGCUCAACCUUUGAAAGCCGAUGGAUACUGCUGGGCUAGAGUCCGGAAGAGGCGAGUGGAAUUCCUGGUGUAGCGGUGGAAUGCGCAGAUAUCAGGAGGAACACCGAUAGCGAAGGCAGGUCUCUGGGCCACUACUGACGCUGAGAAGCGAAAGCAUGGGGAGCGAACAGG